rnacentral:rRNA from 1 species
CCUAUGAAAUCGAGUGGCAAACGGGUGAGUAACGCGUAAACAACCUGCCCUUCGGAUGGGGAUAACAGCCGGAAACGGCUGCUAAUACCGAAUACGAUCUUUUCGUCGCAUGACGGAAAGAAGAAAGGAUGGCCUCUAUACAAAGCUAUCGCCGAAGGAGGGGUUUGCGUCUGAUUAGCUGGUUGGAGGGGUAACGGCCCAACAAGGCGAUGAUCAGUAGCCGGUCUGAGAGGAUGAACGGCCACAUUGGGACUGAGACACGGCCCAGACUCCUGCGGGAGGCAGCAGUGGGGAAUCUUCCGCAAUGGACGAAAGUCUCACGGAGCAACGCUCCGUGAGUGAAGAAGGUCUUCGGAUUGUAAAACUCUGUUAUACGCGACAAACAGACGGAUGCCAACAGUAUCCGUCCGUGACGG